CAUAACUGUAUGUGUCUGUCAAUAUCAAAUUGAAACCUAAUAAAUUGCCAGUUUUUCAGGGAAACUCUGUUUUGAAAAUAAGCAACAUUAUGUGUUAAUAAUAGAAAAUAAUAAUAAAAUUUCACUCGUUUAAAGAAUUCUUUCCAUUAUUACUUCUGUUUGUCCUUUAAUUAUCGAUUGAGCCAGUACGAAACCUGCCGGGUCAGCUAGAAUAUCAUUUUCACAUUACUGGUUUUUAACUUGCAAACUGUGGUUUGAAUGCCGUUUAUUCUCAAUGCGCGCGUGUUUGAAUGCUCUUAUCUCUAUUUACCGUUUUUGCCAGUGAGUAAGUGGUGCUAAGUGAGCGAGAAAUUUUAUAAAUUUAAUUAAUUACAAUUUAUGAUGCCGAGGAGAAAACGACCUGGCAGUUGUUGUUGCAGUUAAUCAAAAGUGCGAGAGGUAUUUCAGGUACUUACCGCACUAAUAACCAGAGAAAGACAGAUUAAGAACAUAGUUGUAUUUCUAUGGCGCUAUUUAGUGAGUGACAUUGAAGUAGAUAGGCGUAGAAUGCAACGAGUUCGUGCACAUCAACAGCAAGAACAACAUAAUGAAAUUCACCGCCGCAUUGAUCCUGUGAUUCUUGAACGAGCUGUAUUUCGCUAUGAUCCGGUAAUCGACUAAUCGGCAACAAUUGGAGAAACGAAAAUAUAUGUAAAUUUUGUAGGACGGUAAACUACACUGGUGAAUUUACUUAAUUACGUUGUGCUGGAGGAAAAGUAAAAUUGGCACAAUUGGUCCCACCACCAAAUACUUUGCGCUCUUUAAAAAUAUGUGUAACAGCUGUUUUCAGAGGACAUGAUUUGGCGCUACACAUAUUAUACAAGACAAGUUCAUGGCCACUUUCGAGGAAUAUUUUUUUAAAAUAUUCUGGUACUCAAAUAUUUAUAGCGGGAAUAAUUAAUGGAAACAUUUUUAAAAAUUACAGAUACAAAAAUAAAUUUAUCGCUUAGUUGGGGCACUGUUAUCACUACCUGAUGCGGAUCCUUAAUUUUUAAACAUUUAUUUGCUAAGAAAUUCAUCUUCCACACAUGAAUCGUUGUGCUCAUAAUCCAACAGUGCAGAGAACCAUUGCCCAAGAAUUACAAAUGUUUCUUUGUCAGAAUAAAAUUUUAAUAAACAUGUUCACAAUAGCAUUACCAUAAUAUUACCAUUCGAGUCGACAAAACACCUGCCGGUGAACGCACAAGGAGUUUCAAUUCACCUACCAUUGACGAAGUGGAUGUUGCCAUUGUAGAAGAAAAUUUACAAUCUAUAGAUAUUCAUCGUCGUAAUAGUGAUUUAAGACGUGUGUUCAUCAAUCAAAAUCAAUCAACAGGUGCUGUAUUUAAAUGAGCUAAGCGUCGUUCUACCUGGCUACUCUAUUCGGGAAAAAUUUGCGUACCCUAGUACAACACAUCACACUUGAGAACCCCACCACACUCACCGAUGACACCUCUUGAUCACCACACAUCGAACAAGACAAAAAAGGAAUUGAAUCAUCGCUAAGAAUACAUUCGUUUAUCAACACCUAACCCAUGCGCUGCCGUCGUCACCACCCGGCUACAACGUCCUUCGCUAAAGCAUCCAUACUUGAAUUGGAUUACGAUUCGUUUGAUCACCGUCGACCUUACGUACCGAUUUUAGAUCAGUGCACCAAUACAUUUACUUUUGCAUAUUUUAUUGUAAAAAUGAACAAUUUCCUCUGCAAAUUAAAUGCAUUUUAAACUUGA